GCUUACGGCCAUACCACCCUGAGCACGCCCGAUCUCGUCCGAUCUCGGAAGCUAAGCAGGGUCGGGCCUGGUUAGUACUUGGAUGGGAGACCGCCUGGGAAUACCAUUAACGAAUGAA
rnacentral:rRNA from 1 species